rnacentral:rRNA from 1 species
CUGCAACUCGACUCCGUGAAGCUGGAUUCGCUAGUAAUCGCGCAUCAGCCAUGGCGCGGUGAAUACGUUCCCGGGCCUUGUACACACCGCCCGUCAAGCCAUGGGAGCCGGGGGUACCUGAAGUCCGUAACCGCGAGGAUCGGCCUAGGGUAAACUGGUGACUGGGGCUAAGUCGUAACAAGGUAUC